AACGAACGCUGGCGGCAUGCCUAACACAUGCAAGUCGAACGAGACCUUCGGGUCUAGUGGCGCACGGGUGCGUAACGCGUGGGAACCUGCCCUUAGGUUCGGAAUAACUCCCCGAAAGGGGUGCUAAUACCGGAUAAUGUCUUCGGACCAAAGAUUUAUCGCCUUUGGAUGGGCCCGCGUUGGAUUAGCUAGUUGGUAGGGUAAAAGCCUACCAAGGCGACGAUCCAUAGCUGGUCUGAGAGGAUGAUCAGCCACACUGGGACUGAGACACGGCCCAGACUCCUACGGGAGGCAGCAGGGGGGAAUAUUGGACAAUGGGCGAAAGCCUGAUCCAGCAAUGCCGCGGGAGUGAUGAAGGCCUUAGGGUUGUAAAGCUCUUUUACCCGGGAUGAUAAUGACAGUACCGGGAGAAUAAGCUCCGGCUAACUCCGU
rnacentral:rRNA from 1 species